rnacentral:lncRNA from 1 species
CUACUUCUAGGAUCGAAGUGGUUAACUAGGGAUUAAAUCCUGAUCUCUCCAGUGUUUUAGGGAUUUGAAACAAUUCUUGUACAUCAUUAGCAGGAUUUUAUCCGAAAGCAUACAAUCAUAAUUAUGGGUGUUUUGUUUUCGUCGUUCUCCCUCAAAUGUUUUCUAAAACAACAGUUAUGAUAAAUAAAGUGAAAUGGAGAAACAUGGAUGUAUUUUUUAUUUUAGAUAUAAGAGAA